rnacentral:rRNA from 1 species
UCUCCUGGAAACGGGUGGUAAUGCCGGAUGUUCCACAUGAGCGCAUGCGAGUGUGGGAAAGGCUUUUUGCGGCAUGGGAUGGGGUCGCGUCCUAUCAGCUUGUUGGUGGGGUAACGGCCUACCAAGGCGUUGACGGGUAGCCGGCCUGAGAGGGCGACCGGCCACAUUGGGACUGAGAUACGGCCCAGACUCCUACGGGAGGCAGCAGUGGGGAAUAUUGCACAAUGGGCGCAAGCCUGAUGCAGCGACGCCGCGUGCGGGAUGGAGGCCUUCGGGUUGUAAACCGCUUUUGUUCAAGGGCAAGGCACGGUUUCGGCCGUGUUGAGUGGAUUGUUCGAAUAAGCACCGGCUAACUACGUGCCAGCAGCCGCGGUAAUACGUAGGGUGCAAGCGUUAUCCGGAUUUAUUGGGCGUAAAGGGCUCGUAGGCGGUUCGUCGCGUCCGGUGUGAAAGUCCAUCGCUUAACGGUGGAUCCGCGCCGGGUACGGGCGGGCUUGAGUGCGGUAGGGGAGACUGGAAAUUCCCGGUGUAACGGUGGAAUGUGUAGAUAUCGGAAGAACACCA